UCAUGGGCCUGCUCUCUGUGAUCUGUGGACU
rnacentral:piRNA from 1 species